GAGGAGGCUCCUCUUUGACCACUGGCUGAAGGCAGUCAACUUGUAUUCCUAUAGAUGACAGCUUUCUUUUGGGGACGUUCUCCACUUUAGGCUCUUCACUUGUCAGGGUCCCUUUGUCGCUUUUCAAAGUUGCAUUUUUCUGUGGUAGUUCUGGAGUGUCUCUUGCUGGAGUCACAAUGCUGCCCCUUGUAACGCUGGGUGUCCUGGUGCUGUCUAAGCUGUCUGAAGAAUUGCUCAGUCCCGACUGGCUGGUCACCUCGCUCUUGUGGUCCUGGCUGUCCAGGUAGGUGUCCUGCGCCGAUUCAGUGCUGCUCUGCACAGUGACAGAGAUGAACGGCUUUGAUGUAGUCCGAGGUGGGACAGGAGGUGGAGUCUUUUUAUAUGCCACUAGGCAUGAUGAACAUUGCUUCAGGAGCUCCAGACACAAAGCCAUGGGAGACACAAAGGAGGGGCGGAG
rnacentral:lncRNA from 1 species